rnacentral:lncRNA from 1 species
AGGGAACAACAGGACACAGCUUCUUCUUCUCUUCACUACUUGAAGCAAUGAGCAGAGCCAAUACCUGUCAAUGUCUCUCAGCAUUUCAGUGUCUCUGCACUGCGGUAGGUCCAUCUGGGUUUGGAGGUACGCAAGGACAAAAUGAAAACCUGAGGCACAGGCAAUGCUGUGUGUAAGCAGUCAUCCCAGAUGAGUGGGUCCCACAAAUACCAUUACUGCGGUUAUCUGGCUGCGCCCUUUCAAACAACUGAAUGAAAUCGAAGACAACCUACAUACAUUAAUAUGUUGUACCUUUUCUGCAAGAUGUUCUGGCAUCGCAUUAAGUGCUAUUUCUAGAGAUUGCCUGCAGCAGAUUUAAAUUCCGCUUGGGUUGAAUAAAGGAAAGAUAAUGUUACUUCA